AAAAAAGCAGUGACCUCUUGCCUUUGUUAAUGGGCCUCUCUUAAAUGUCAGGAAAAAUAAUAGCAUUGUUAUUGGGUGAACCUCCGUUUUGUUGAUUAUGGCUGAAGGUUCAGUAAAUGAAGCAACCUUU